AUAAUCCACCAUUGAUGCGAAUAUCUGCUUCCGAAUCAUCUUAGUAAUGUCGGAAACAAACACGCCUUAGUAAAUCUUGCGGACAAGAGAAACGUCCGUUUUAAACUUUGCAGAUAAUAUGCAGGAUGGAAAAAGGAUUGGGUUGUAACCAAUUCGAAAAAGAAAGGAAGAGAAAGAGUUCCCUUUCUCUAUCUCAUGGCGGAUAAAACGAGAGCCCACUCUCAUUUCUCGAAACUUGUCACAUUCUUCUUUCGUUUUGCUGAUACUUUCUGAUCUCUCUAUCUCUUCCUUUUGCUUCUUUCCUGUAGCUACAGCAGCAGGCCCUUGCUUUAUUUUUUGUUGGAAUGGCCGUGGCUAUGGCUUCUGCUGCUAAUUGUGCUGUGUACUUUAGCCGCAACACUAAUAAAAUUCCUGGCUUUGAGCUCAAAAACCAUUCUUGGCGUGCUGUCUUUGUCAGCAGACCACCCAACGAUCUUGGGAAAAGAAGUGUCAGUUUGUCAUCUUCAACAAUGGGAAUUAUUCCACCAGCAACACCAUCAGCCACAGCUGUAGAGAAUGAUGGAAGUUUCAGCGACACUGAUACAGUUCCGACCCCCAAGGUUAUAAUUGACCAAGACUCUGAUCCAGACGUCACUUUAGUGGAAGUAACCUUUGGCGAUCGCCUUGGAGCUCUUCUUGAUACUAUGAAUGCACUUAAAAAUCUUGGGUUGAAUGUUGUUAAAGCAAACGUAUAUCUGGAUUCAUCUGGGAAGCACAACACAUUUGCCAUCACUAAGGCGAGUACUGGAAGGAAAGUAGAAGAACCAGAACUGCUUGAGGCAAUUCGUUUGACGAUUAUAAACAACUUACUUGAGUACCAUCCAGAAUCAAGUUCUCAGUUAGCAAUGGGUGCUGCUUUUGGUGUUGAGCCACCAAAAGAAAAGGUUGAUGUGGAUAUUGCAACCCACAUAAGCGUCAAUGAUGAUGGUCCUGACCGUAGCUUGCUAUAUGUGGAAACAGCUGAUCGACCAGGGUUGUUGGUGGAUCUUGUAAAAAUUAUUACUGACAUCAACAUUGCAGUUGAAUCUGGGGAGUUUGACACUGAGGGGUUGUUGGCAAAGGCCAAGUUUCAUGUCAGCUACAAGAACAAAGCCAUCAUCAAGCCUCUGCAGCAGGUUCUUGCUAAUAGUUUGCGAUAUUUCUUGAGGCGUCCGACUACCGAGGAGGCGAGUUUUUGAGCCACCGAUAUAAACAUAGCCGAGUUUAGGGGAAUACAUCAUUUGAUCUUCGAAUUAUCCCCAGGGACCUCAAUUUGCCGAAGGGGUGAAUUUCAGAAUUCUUCUUCGCAAUAAUCUCUUGCUCCCUAGUUUGUACCCUUGAUUCAUUGCUGUAAGUGUCGACUCAGGUGUUAACUCCCACCGCCCUAUAGUCUUAUCUGCCGCAACAGCCGAUGCAGAAGAUUAGGCAGGCAGCAACAUUGCUGGAGUGGUAAUCAACAACCUAAGACAUUUUAUUGAUGUAAAAUCUUUACCAGAAGAGAAAAUAAUUAUUAUGGGGAAUGUGACUCGAUUUAUCAUUGAAUUUUCCCUGAAAAAGUAGAUUAUUUUAUGUAAA